rnacentral:rRNA from 1 species
UAAGCAUAUCAAUAAGCGGAGGAAAAGAAACCAACAGGGAUUGCCCUAGUAACGGCGAGUGAAGCGGCAACAGCUCAAAUUUGAAAUCUGGCUUCGGCCCGAGUUGUAAUUUGCAGAGGAAGCUUUAGGCGCGGCACCUUCUGAGUCCCCUGGAACGGGGCGCCAUAGAGGGUGAGAGCCCCGUAUAGUUGGAUGCCUAGCCUGUGUAAAGCUCCUUCGACGAGUCGAGUAGUUUGGGAAUGCUGCUCAAAAUGGGAGGUAAAUUUCUUCUAAAGCUAAAUACCGGCCAGAGACCGAUAGCGCACAAGUAGAGUGAUCGAAAGAUGAAAAGCACUUUGAAAAGAGGGUUAAAUAGCACGUGAAAUUGUUGAAAGGGAAGCGCUUGUGACCAGACUUGCGCCGGGCAGAUCAUCCGGUGUUCUCACCGGUGCACUCUGCCCGGCUCAGGCCAGCAUCGGUUCUCGCGGGGGGAUAAAGGCCCUGGGAACGUAGCUCCUCCGGGAGUGUUAUAGCCCGGGGCGUAAUGCCUUCGCGGGGACCGAGGUUCGCGCAUCUGCAAGGAUGCUGGCGUAAUGGUCAUCAGCGACCCGUCUUGAAACACGGACCAAGGAGUCAAGGUUUUGCGCGAGUGUUUGGGUGUAAAACCCGCACGCGUAAUGAAAGUGAACGUAGGUGAGAGCUUCGGCGCAUCAUCGACCGAUCCUGAUGUUUUCGGAUGGAUUUGAGUAGGAGCGUUAAGCCUUGGACCCGAAAGAUGGUGAACUAUGCUUGGAUAGGGUGAAGCCAGAGGAAACUCUGGUGGAGGCUCGCAGCGGUUCUGACGUGCAAAUCGAUCGUCAAAUCUGAGCAUGGGGGCGAAAGACUAAUCGAACCAUCUAGUAGCUGGUUACCGCAA